GAUGAACGCUGGCGGCGUGCCUAAUACAUGCAAGUCGAGCGAACGGACGAGAAGCUUGCUUCUCUGAUGUUAGCGGCGGACGGGUGAGUAACACGUGGAUAACCUACCUAUAAGACUGGGAUAACUUCGGGAAACCGUAGCUAAUACCGGAUAAUAUUUUGAACCGCAUGGUUCAAAAGUGAAAGACGGUCUUUCUGUCACUUAUAGAUGGUUCCGCGCUGCAUUAGCUAGUUGGUAAGGUAACGGCUUACCAAGGCAACGAUGCAUAGCCGACCUGAGAGGGUGAUCGGCCACACUGGAACUGAGACGCGGUCCAGACUCCUACGGGAAGCAGCAGUAGGGAAUCUUCCGCAAUGGGCGGAAGCCUGACGGAGCAACGCGGCGUGAGUGAUGAAGGUCUUCGGAUCGUAAAACUCUGUUAUUAGGGAAGAACAUAUGUGUAAGUUACUGUGCACAUCUUGACGGUACCUAAUCAGAAAGCCACGGCUAACUACGUG
rnacentral:rRNA from 1 species